rnacentral:tRNA from 81 species
GUCCCUAUCGUCUAGAGGCCUAGGACACCGCCCUUUCACGGCGGUAACAGGGGUUCGAAUCCCCUUAGGGAUGCCA